UGUGCAGUGUUGGGGGGCGCCCAGGACCAGGGUUGAGAAACACUGCGUUAGACUCUCUCUGGUUCCUAACAUUGAAGUUGUUGUUUUUUCGCAGAAAAGCCGGCUUUCAAUCCAUCCUCAUGAAGGUUGUGAAAUUUCAUCAGGGUGUCUUCUAUCAAACAAGGCUUUGGGUCUCACAAUAUAAUCUGAUGUGGUAACACAGAGGUGGCCUUGAUUUUUUUCUGUCUUCUGGGAAGUGUAAAGAUGUCUUCUUUCGCUUCAUUCUGGUGCACCGGAGUUCUUCGCUUUUAUAGGUACUCUUCAACCCAUGCAGGUGAGGUGUUCUUCGUCUUCAACGCCUUGUACUUGACGAGUCAGUUACAGGACAGCAGCAACAUCUCUAGACAUUUAUGCAUGGAUUUGGUUUUGAAGAUUCUGAUUGGUUCCAAAAAAGGACCUGAACCAGCUAAUCAUGCUCCUCAGGAUCACCUGUAAAUUUACCACAGAAACAACAUGAAACAAAGCUGUCCUCAGUGACCAGAUCAGUCUGCAAGACCUUGCCAUGACUAAACAGGUCAAGACGCACUCAACAAAACAACUGCAGUCUUUCUAUUAAAUUAUGCAUUGUCAGAAAAGGGCACAAAAAUAAAGAUGUAUAGAAC